CCUACGGGAGGCAGCAGUGGGGAAUAUUGCACAAUGGGGGAAACCCUGAUGCAGCAACGCCGCGUGAGUGAAGAAGUAUUUCGGUAUGUAAAGCUCUAUCAGCAGGGAAGAAAAUGACGGUACCUGAGUAAGAAGCCCCGGCUAACUACGUGCCAGCAGCCGCGGUAAUACGUAGGGGGCAAGCGUUAUCCGGAUUUACUGGGUGUAAAGGGAGCGUAGACGGCGAGGCAAGUCUGAUGUGAAAGCCUGGGGCUUAACCCCGGAACUGCAUUGGAAACUGCUUUGCUGGAGUGCCGGAGAGGUAAGCGGAAUUCCUAGUGUAGCGGUGAAAUGCGUAGAUAUUAGGAGGAACACCAGUGGCGAAGGCGGCUUACUGGACGGUAACUGACGUUGAGGCUCGAAAGCGUGGGGAGCAAACAGGAUU
rnacentral:rRNA from 1 species